rnacentral:misc_RNA from 1 species
CGCACAUUGCGCCCCUUGGUAUUCCGGGGGGCAUGCCUGUUCGAGCGUCAUUAUAACCCUCAAGCCUAGCUUGGUGUUGGGGCAUGCCCUAUGGCAGCCCUUAAAACUAGUGGCAGUGCCCUCGAGCUCUAAGCGUAGUAACUUUCUCGCUAUAGGGUUUUGAGGUCGCUUGCCAGAACCCCUAAUUUUCUAUGGUUGACCUCGGAUCAGGUAGGGAUACCCGCUGAACUUAA